rnacentral:misc_RNA from 1 species
GAUGAAGAACGUAGCGAAAUGCGAUACGUAAUGUGAAUUGCAGAAUUCAGUGAAUCAUCGAGUCUUUGAACGCACAUUGCGCCCGCCAGUACUCUGGCGGGCAUGCCUGUCCGAGCGUCAUUUCAACCCUCGAACCCCUCCGGGGGGUCGGCGUUGGGGAUCGGCCCUCCCAUAGCGGGGGCCGUCCCCGAAAUGCAGUGGCGGUCUCGCCGCAGCCUCUCCUGCGCAGUAGUUUGCACACUCGCACCGGGAGCGCGGCGCGUCCACAGCCGUUAAACACCCAACUUUCUGAAAUGUUGACCUCGGAUCAGGUAGGAAUACCCGCUGAACUUAAGCAUAUCAAUAAGCGGAGGA